CGGGGUGUGGCGCAGAUUGGUAGCGCGCUACCUUGGGGUGGUAGAGGUCGUCGGUUCAAGUCCGGUCACUCCGACCA
rnacentral:tRNA from 2 species